rnacentral:rRNA from 1 species
UCGGAUCGCGGCGACGCGGCGGUUCGCCGCCGGUGACGUUGUGAGAAGUUCAUUAAACCUUAUCAUUUAGAGGAAGGAGAAGUCGUAACAAGGUUUCCGUAGGUGAACCUGCGGAAGGAUCAUUG